AUACCAGGCCCUGCAGUGCUUUUCCCUGGUACUUUUCUGCCCCUGGCAUAACUCACAUAAAAUCUGAAAAGUCAAAAAUCUGCAGUUUUUAAAACAAACUGCUAACUGAAUGAGUGGCACCAUUGUUUGAACAUUUGGAGAGAUCAUGAGCAAAUAUUUAGGUUAGGGAGACAUCUGCCAAGGUAAAGGUUUUCCAGUGAAAAGGGC
rnacentral:lncRNA from 1 species